rnacentral:ncRNA from 1 species
GCAACUUGCAGUUGUUUUAAUAAAAUUGGUUCCUUAGGUUAUUUGCCCCACGUUUAUUGUGGGGCUUUUUCUUGCGCAUUUU